AUGAAGAGAGGGUAUUCAUUCAAGAGGAAUCUGCAAGGAUAUCAGAAGAAAUUGAAUGUCUUCUUUUGCUCGGCAUUUCCUUCCUCACAAUUACAUCUUCUCCUGGACAGGAGCUUCUCACAAGAAACCCAGGCAGUCUUCUCUCCAUUUCUUGCAUUGAUCUCGUUCUCCAGCACGUACCUGGUUCAGGGCUUGCAAGGAACAUGGUGGAAUUGCUUCAGACAGCUACCACCAUCCACGCUCCUGCAACUGACUCUGUACAGCCAGGCCUCUGACUGCACAGCCUCUGGCAAAGGACACAAGGGACCACUCUGCUUUUGGGGGCCCAGCUGCAGAAGGCAGGAGAACUGA
rnacentral:lncRNA from 1 species